rnacentral:rRNA from 1 species
GACGAACGCUGGCGGCGUGCCUAACACAUGCAAGUCGAACGGAAAGGCCUCUUUCGGUGGGUACUCGAGUGGCGAACGGGUGAGUAACACGUGAGUAACCUGCCCUUGACUUUGGGAUAACUCCAGGAAACUGGGGCAAAUACCCGAUAGGAGCUCCUGCGGCAUGGUGGGGGUUGGAAAGUUUCGGCGGUUGGGGUUGGACUGGGGGCUUAUCAGCUUGUUGGUGGGGUAGUGGCUUACCAAGGCGUUGACGGGUAGGCGGACUGAGAGGGUGACCGGCCGCACUGGGACUGAGGGGCGGCCCAGACUCCUACGGGAGGCAGCAGGGGGGAAUAUUGCACCAUGGGUGGAAGCCUGGUGCAGCAGCGCCGUGUGCGGGAUGACGGCCUUCGGGUUGUAAACCGCUUUCGCUCAUGACGAAGCUUUGUGUGACGGUAGUGGGUAAAGAAGCACCGGCUAACUACGUG